rnacentral:rRNA from 1 species
UGCGUAGGCGGGAUAUUAAGUCAGUGGUGAAAGCCCCGAGCUCAACUUGGGAACUGCCAUUGAUACUGAUAUUCUUGAAUAUAGUUGAGGUAGGCGGAAUACAGCAUGUAGCGGUGAAAUGCAUAGAUAUGCUGUAGAACACCAAUUGCGAAGGCAGCUUACUAAACUAUUAUUGACGCUGAGGCACGAAAGCGUGGGGAGCGAACAGGAUUAGAUACCCUGGUAGUCC